GACCUGGUAGCUCAGCUGGUAGAGCAUCUCCCUUUUAAGGAGAGGGUCCUGGGUUCGAGCCCCAGCCAGGUCACCA
rnacentral:tRNA from 1 species